AAAAGGAGUGGUUUGUGAAUGGGAGGGGCUGGCCUCAGUUUGACUCAACACACGAAGGGAAGGAUGAAAUGAUGCAACUUUGGGCACCCAAAAAGUCAGUUAACUAUAAAACCUAUGAACAGACGCCAGCCUACCUGUCAGCCACUGGCAGAACUCCAGCAUCGUACCCUGUGUAGAAAAGUUUGUGGAUCAGGAGAGGCUUAACACACCGACGCAGCAUUGCCUCCCCAGCUGCAACGCCCAGACCCUUCCAGCCAGUGGGAGAGAGAGGUAGUCGCAGACUGCAGAGGGAGAGAGAGAGAGAGAGAGCAAGAGAGAAGGCACUUUGCAAGCCUCUUCCAGACCGACCUCACGCUGGGAUUCCAUAGAGAGACGGCGGGCGAGUGACAGCGAGUUGCAGCAAAAGAGAGAGAGAGACGUUGAGGCUCUGUUGCAGUUGAGGUCUCUACCACAGCCCCUUAGGAUGACCGAGAAACAGCUCCCGGGGAUAGUGUGGCGGUCUCUUUCAAAAUGGCCUCCUCCGCCCCUUCCUUCCCCCCCCCCACCCACGGGUCCAGAUGGUCCGGGCGGACAGCACCCAGGUGAUAAAUAUCCACAACAAGCCAAAAAGCAGGAGCCGGGUGCAUCCGGGGGCCUCGG
ensembl:lncRNA